rnacentral:tRNA from 1 species
GCAGUGGUGAUUCAGAGGUAGAAUUCUCAUCUUCCAUGCAGGAGACCUGGGCUCGAUUCCUGGCCAAGGCA